UAGCAACAUUUGUGCAUAUGUCAGAAAAUGGUAAGAAUUGCCGGAUUUGUCAUCUGCUGAAAAAUAAAAUAAAUCGUCUUAUACCGGAAUUUUUCAUCUCAAGUUUAUAAGAUGCAACUGUAAACCUUUCGCUAUGGCACAGAAUUUACAGAAAAAGCCCUCAAAGGGCAUAUUAAAGACCUCAAGAAGUGUCGACGGGCAAGACGGAACACCUUCUACGAGUAAGAGACCAAAAGAGCAGAGGUUUGACGAAAUGAACAUUAUGGAGACGUUUCAUCCUGCCGACAAAGAUUACGGACAUAUGAAAGUGGACGAGCCUAAAACUCCUUUCUCAGAAGCGAUAGAUGGCGACUUAGAGCCGGCAGACGAAUUAGACGCAAACAUAUUGGCGGCAAAGCUCGCGGCGAGCAUGAACAAGCCGCCCAAGUGCGUGGAGCCCUGCGACAGCGAUGAGGAUAUGGAUGAGCCCGAGGAAGUGCGACAGCGGCGCCUCGAGUUUGAAAAGAAACGGAAAAUGCACUACAAUGAAUUUCAGGCAUUACAGCUGGCGCGGAAGCUGAUGGCGCAGGAGGAGGAGGAGGAAGAGGAAGAGAAGGAGACGCGCUCCGCCACCUGACUGCAGCCCCUCAGCGCUGCCUCUCGCUGUACAUAACACGGACCAUCUCAAGCUGGAUUUCGUCAAACAUUAGUUCCAGCUUCCGCAGACAAUAUGUCACAUAUAAGUUGGUACUUAUGCCAUAGGCGUUGUGUUCCUCAACUCGGCUGUAAGAAAAUGUAUGUGCGUGCGUUAGAUUAGUUUAUAUGCGACGGAGACUUAUCCGUGAUUUAUAUGAUAAAUUUGCAUUUUUAUUUCUACAAGUGUUCGCGUGACGAACGAUCGUUCGCCGAAUAUUUAAUGCGACGCUUACUGUAAUGUUAAGGAAAUUAUUUACAAUCAAGAUGUGCACGACAUUCUUUUGUAUUUACAAUUUAUUAGUUCGUAACGCUACUUUGACGUAACUUCGUCAUAAAACAAAAUGCAUUAGAGCUUGUUCAUGUAUAACUCGCGCUGUGCCGCUAUUUAGAUGUCACUAACUCAUACAACAAAAUGUUUUAUGAUUUUUUUAGACCGCGUUCGCGCCCGUGACUUACGUAUGAACAAGCACUAAUGCAUUAUUCUUGCAUCAUUUAGGUAAACAUAAUUCACAUAGAUUUAUCAAUUUGUUAAUACUUUCAGUACGCAAUAGCGCUUCCAAAUUUAAAUAAGAUUUUUAUAAAGUGUAUUAUUAUUAUAGAGGCCAGGGUAAUCGAUGCUACUCGAUAAAAUGCUUAACUUAUACGAACUUAUAAGACCGACAGGGCAGAUAAAAGUCGACUAACUUACAUAGACCUCUCUGAAGAUGAAACUACGAUAUGGAUAAGGUUGUGAGAGCUUCGUACAAGAACCAGUUUUAUUGCGAUUCUUAGGCUUUGUUCACAACAAAGUUAUUAUCAGUCAGUCACAGUGAGCCGCGACUUUGUCAGGGCAAAGACGAAGUCGCAGAUUCUUGGGCUCACAAUCGACUUCAUAGAAGGAUAAGGCGGCGACUGACAAUAUAUUUCGUAUUAUCGCGUCCUUAUGGAGGUCUUCAUCUUGCAGUGGAAGAAAAGAAAUAUAAAUUUACUCGUGCAUUCGCCCCAAUUGAUUGACUGUAAAAACUAGUCGGUAAUUUGUAAUUUUCGUUUUAUCCAAUAUUAAAACAUAUUUGAUUUGUUUUCUUUUAAAUUCUAGGUCUAUAUCUAUAUACAUCUACAUGUAUGUUUUAAAAUUAAGAUGCAAGAACUUCGCAAGGAUUUAUAGAAAACUUAUUAACUACGCAAUGCACUACAAAUUAAUUCCUAAGCAUAGAAUCGAAUAGGACAUCAGCUGAU